UACGGAGGAUCCAAGCGUUAUCCGGAAUCAUUGGGUUUAAAGGGUCCGUAGGCGGUUUAAUAAGUCAGUGGUGAAAUCUGGUCGCUCAACGAUCAAACGGCCAUUGAUACUGUUAAACUUGAAUUACUUUGAAGUAACUAGAAUAUGUAGUGUAGCGGUGAAAUGCUUAGAUAUUACAUGGAAUACCAAUUGCGAAGGCAGGUUACUAAAAGUAUAUUGACGCUGAUGGACGAAAGCGUGGGUAGCGAACAGG
rnacentral:rRNA from 1 species